rnacentral:rRNA from 1 species
UACAUGGGGUGCAAACGUUGCUCGGAAUUAUUGGGCGUAAAGCGCACGUAGGCGGUUUGUUAAGUCGGAUGUGAAAUCCCUCGGCUCAACUGAGGAAGUGCACCCGAAACUGGCAGGCUUGAGUACUAAAGAGGGUCGCGGAAUUCCCGGUGUAGAGGUGAAAUGCGUAGAUAUCUGGAGGAACACCGGUGGCGAAGGCGGCGUCCUGGACCAAUACUGACACUGAGGAGCGAAAGCCAGGGGAGCAAACGGG